GCGCGCGCAGAUUACUUGAACUUUUGUCCUCAGCGCGCGUGCGAUCGUAACCUAUAGGGAGCCACCUUAAGAUGUGCAUUUUCGCAAAGCACGGGGACGUCAAUAAUUCGAACCUUGUCAUGACGAAACUUUUUACGUUCACGAGUGGCCAUUGAUAUAUCGACUUACUUCUGAUUUAUACCUUUCUUCUUCCGAGAAGUACAUUGCUUUACAUCAUUAGCCCUUUAUGUUUCUAUUUAACACUUACUGAUGCUUUAUUUGGCCUUGAAAUAUCAGAUCUUAGACCUUCUUUUCUGAUACAACAUAUGCAUUAUACAUAUACCUUCAAUCCCAAUUUCUAUUAUUUAUUAAUACUUGCUUAAUUUACUUUAAACCUUGAAACUUGGCCACAACUCUUUUUUAAUUGAUCGUUUUUGCCGGACCUUUAGAGUGAUGUAAGCGAACUUUGCCGCUUAUAUAAGAAAGCAACAGAGCGGAAGGUCAGUGGAACCAUUCAUGCUGUUGUACUGCAUGUAACAACCAGUUCAAAUCAUGCAGGGUAUACAAACUUUAUAAAUGGUACUGCUUGAAGUGAUAACUUUUCACAAGAUAUUGCCCUCACAGUUAGCAUAAAGGCCUCAUACAGAAUAAUUUAUUCAUACAGAAUAUUCUUACUCGCAUUUACAGUAUAUUAAAAGCCUCUUGAAGAAAAGACUAAUCAUAUAAGAUUAAUCUAGAUUCACCUUUGCUUCAGUCUAGUCGGCAUAAACCUUACAGGCAUUAAUUUGAACUUAGCAGUUUCAAUCCUCUUUUUACGACGGAGUAAUCCACAUGCAUAGUUCGUUAUAAUAUUAUUACAAUGUCACUAAGGUAACCAGGUUAAACAUAAUAAGCCAGGGGUGAUGUCUUGAUGCACGAAAGAACAAAUUAUACAGACUUCUGUGACGAUACUAGGCACUACAGUGACAGCUUUGACCACACAUUACCACUGCAACCAGCACAGAUUAUGCCAGCCAAAUCUCCCUUGCCUCCUUCAUGAAACGAGUGGCCAUUUUAUGACUCUUACUUAAUUCAAUUCAACCAUUAAUUAAGAUCUUAAUGCAAAAAUAAGUGAUAUCAAACGGUUCGAAUAGGUAGCUACAAUAGGUAAAACAAACCAGGCUCAUGAUGUCUUGCUGUACGCAGUACCAAUUUCUCUUAUUCAAGCAUUCGAGUGAGGGUUCGUGAACUGAACUUCGAGGGGAGAUGUUAAUGUUAUGGUGGUAAGCUACAUGUGCAGGAAAAAACUGAUUCAUUUCAUUUUGGAGGCGGGGAAAAUCCGCCGAGUUCGCUUCGCCAAAAUACACUUUGUUAUCAAGCCAGGUCAGUUCAAAAACGACAAGCCUCUGUACUUGUCUUUGUUUUGGCGAAUUUCUAGAAAAUUCUUAUGAGGGAAUUGCUUAUCAAUAUUAUUCAGUAAGAACUGUGUUGAAAGUUCCUUAUGCUUGCAACAGACAGGCGUAACUGAUACUGUCCGAUAUUUGUACGGAAGAAUGUAUUAAUUACAUGCCAAGGUUUAUUUCAAACUACCGAAUUUGAGACUUAAUUAUUUUAAGCGCGCUUUUCAUUUCGAGUGCUGAUAAAUUUUGCCUCAACUCGUUCGAUACGGGUUUUAUAGCAUUUACAGACGUCAAUUUCAGCCCUGCACAUUCGUUGUGAACAAAAUUAAAUCUCUCGACUCAAUAAACGUAAGUGUCGCAUAAUCUUAAUCUCAGUCUCUUUUCUUGUUUUUUACUUAGCCUUCUUACUAAUAUCCCUGUAUUUCAUGGUAAUGUUCAUGUACAAAUAAUUGAUUUUUGUUGCUCUUCACAUUUUCAACAUUUUGUAAGACGUCAUGAUGAGUCUUUGAAAAGGAUGAUAAUACAUGUCAGCAAGUUUCCAUGGAAACUCUGUCGUAUGACUUGAUACGCCCCCUUACGUUUUUCAUCGGUCGUUCAAACCCUUGGCACUCCGGAUGUCCUGUUUGUAGAGUUGAGCACUAAAGGAAUUUAAUCUCUCCACCGCCACCGGCAACUCCACCAAGAAAAGGACUUCGACGGAGCAGAAAAUGGCGUUUUUAAAAAAACGUGUUUCUCCAGAGCCACUAUGCCCUUCCACUACGGAGGGUGAAACUGAGUUAUCGGACUCGUUGCCUCUCGACCAGAAAAGCACAGACAACUUUAAUCAUGAUGAGGACAAGGGGACCACUAUCGAUUAUCGUAGCGCUAAGGAAUUUCAAGAGGGACUUGAUGGCAUUCCCGAAGAGGAGGCGCAAAACGAACCCAGUGGUGUGAAUCAAAAUGGGAAAUUAAGCGCUAGAAGCCAUUCUUCAAAACGCAACUCGUGGUCCAACCCUGAGGGAUUUAACUCGUCUGGACGACAUCAUGUUUGUGAUCGAGUGAUUUUGUUGGCUGUGUGUUUCAUUUCCGCAGCGUCACUUUUGCUUACCGUGUUGAUGCUAUUUGGCAUAGUUGCACCUCUGAAUUGCGCCUGCUCUGGAGAAACAGGUAUUUCCAAUUAUCUCCUGUGCAUAACUUUAUUCCAAAAAGAUAGCUAUAGAUUAAAUUUACUAAACGAAAUUUUCCAACUUCUUUUUGCCGAGAAGCCUUAAAUUAUGCCAAUGCAUGUGUUUUCAAAUUUAUUUCAAAUUUCCUUUUGAACAUUUCGACUGCUGCCAUUUCGUGUAUCUACGCAGGGAUGUUGAAGUGAGUGAAAAAAAAAUCCUCGCAUUGUCUUUGUUACUCAUGUUGUUAAAGGAUAAAUGUAUUAGUCGAAAAUCUAAUGCUUUAAAAAUUGCUCUAAAAGGUGUUGAAUCCUAUUGUUGUUUCGAAAUCAAACUUAUUAAGGAUAACGUCAUUUCGCUUAUUUACUCACGAUAGCGAAAGACUAUGGUUUGUUUAACCCGUCGCAGAGUGGUCCACAAUGUUUACAUUAAACUACUCCGAUUUCUCAGGCCCCCAACGCAGAUGUGUUUGUCAUCUGAUGGGCCUAGAAACUCAUGAUCAAAUAAUUGACAACCUUGGAGGGCAAUCGGUACGGAUUAUCUUUGUUUUUAAAUUUCGACCCGACACCUAUUUUUGGACAGUAGCAACAAAAUCACCGGUCCAUAAUGAAAUAGUUGCAAAGCACUUGCUAUUUACUGCUUGACGAUUAUUACAUUCAAGACGUGGACCGAAGGCUUCGUCUAUAAACAAUCAGAAACGUUCGCGCGAACUUUAUUGACUUAUCCAAGUCACGAUCAUUAAAGAAUUUACAUGGAACCUUACACAAGCGUUAUAUAUUUUCUUUAGCAAAUGAAAAUAAAAUAGCAUUUUAAUAACUUCCAAGGUAAAGAAUUGGUCAUCCCAUUUUUGUUGUAACUACUAAACAAAGGAAGCAAAAAUUUCAGAUUUCGAUCAUUUUGGGCCGGGUUUGUUUGCUAGCUAUUCAACUCAAAUCACUUCAUUCCCAACCGACACUGACCUGAUGCGUUACUUGAAUGCACUUUUUUGGAAUUGAGUCUAUAACAUCUGAUAAAAUUGUUAUUUAAGGACUUAAAGUUUUCAGCAAAGGUUAUCAACGGUAAAUAACGCUAUGUUUACUUGACGAAUGAAACUUUCAGUCUUCAGUGUUCUGCUCGUGAGUAAACAAACAGUGUUAAUUGCAUUCUUUAGAUUCUUCGAGUACCACGACAAUGCAUGACUCUUUUUUUCGGUCUUCGAAAACAAUGUUCCUCUGGAAAAUUGCACUCCUUUUAAGAUGAAACGAAAUUUUACGUUACUGUGUGUAAUUUAGUUAAUCAGUCGUACAUAUUGUUGUCACCGAGACGACGUUUAUUGAGUAUUUAAUUAAGUACUUGGACUGAGCAAGUCUGGGGAUCAGUCAGUAGCAAUGGGCCAAAAAACUGAAAGUUGCUGGUUGCGACUAGGUAAAAAGUCAAAGUUUACGGUAAAUAAGGUCAUAGAGAAUUGAAAAAGUAUUAGUACUGCUUUAUUACGGCGGCAAGCUUCUUAACUAAUGAUUCCGGCAGUUUGCGUGCAAACGGGCCGCUAAUACUGUUUACAUUGGUUCAUAGAAUUAUUAAUUUUCCCGAAUUUAAUUAUAGUUUUGCUGAGUCUAAAUGGCAUUUUUUUCCUAGCCAAAGGGCAAGAAUC